GUCCUAGCUUCGACUGGACGUAUACUAAAAUUGGAAAAAUACAGAGAAGAUUAGCAUGGCCCCUGCGCAAGGAUGACAAGCAAAAUCGUGAAGAAAAAAAAUAUUAG